rnacentral:rRNA from 1 species
CCUACGGGAGGCAGCAGUGGGGGAUAUUGCACAAUGGGGGAAACCCUGAUGCAGCGACGCCGCGUGGAGGAAGAAGGUUUUCGGAUUGUAAACUCCUGUCGUUAGGGACGAUAAUGACGGUACCUAACAAGAAAGCACCGGCUAACUACGUGCCAGCAGC